AGCGAACGCUGGCGGCAGGCCUAACACAUGCAAGUCGAACGAAGUCUUCGGACUUAGUGGCGGACGGGUGAGUAACACGUGGGAACGUACCUUUUGGUUCGGAACAACUCAGGGAAACUUGAGCUAAUACCGGAUGAGCCCUUAGGGGGAAAGAUUUAUCGCCGAAAGAGCGGCCCGCGUUAGAUUAGCUAGUUGGUGAGGUAAAGGCUCACCAAGGCUACGAUCUAUAGCUGGUCUGAGAGGAUGAUCAGCCACACUGGGACUGAGACACGGCCCAGACUCCUACGGGAGGCAGCAGCGGGGAAUCCUGCGCAAUGGGCGAAAGCCUGACGCAGCCAUGCCGCGUGAAUGAUGAAGGUCUUAGGAUUGUAAAAUUCUUUUACCAGGGACGAUAAUGACGGUACCUGGAGAAAAAGCCCCGGCUAACUUCGUGCCAGCCGCCGCGGUAACAC
rnacentral:rRNA from 1 species